AAGAUGCGCAAUAAAGGAAUGUAGAAGAACGUUGGAAGAGAAGCAUUCUCACCUAUUGCUGAUCUUAACAGGAGCCAUAUGAAAAUGGAGCAGUAUGCGAGGCAAAUGUUUAUGCCUGGAGAACCCAGGGGAACAGAACCCAGAAUGUUUGAAGACCACUGAUCCAGAAUACACAGCUUAUAAACUACAGCUGAUUUUCCAUCCCACAGGAAGAAAACCUCUUGCCGAAGAAUUUCCUCUAGCUCUUGUUUAGCCAAAUCUAUCGAUCCAGCUGAGAGGAGAAAGGAGGGUAAACUUCAUUAUUAUUUUCAGAGACACACAUUCAAAGGGUAUAGGAGACAUAGUAACCUAUUUUUACUGUAGAAGAGUGGACGACAAGACUAAUUCUUCCUAAGGAGAUAGAUUGGGAAGGUUUUAUAGAAGAGAUUUCUCAAAAGAAGUGUGGCAUAGAAAGCACUGAUAAACUCUUGAUAAGAGAAAGUGGAUAAGGGACAUUUUGAAAAGAAAGAAAUAGCAUAAAUAAAGGAAAAAGGAGGCAAAAAUACAGGGCUUGUUUGGUGACUAGCAUGAGGCUCCAUGUGAUUAAAAGGUAAAGUCCAAUAGGUGGAAUGGGGAGACUGCAGUGGCUGAGGCCAUUUCAUGGAAGCCUUGAAUGCCUUGCUAACUUUAACAUUUUUAGAAAGCAAUGGGAAAAAACCCGAAGUUUUUGAGUUUAUUUUGCUUUUAAAGCUAGGAACUCACUUUUUCCAAGUUUUACACUAGAAGGAGUAAUUCGGCAGCAUUGUGUAUCCGGGUAACUAGGAGAAGAACACCUGGGGCACUGAUGCAAUUGUCCAGAAGGCAAAUACAACAGCCUAAAUUAUGACAAUGAAAUCGUGAGAAUGGAGAAGAUGCAUUCAGAAGACAUCAUAGAAACACAUUUGGAAGGACUUCUCAAUUAGAUGGGGGACUGGAAGAAUGGUACUGUUAAUUAAAAUUGAGUUGUAAGAAAGACAAAGUGUUGGGUAAGAGGUGAGGAGGGUAGUGACUUAGGUCAGGUUUUCUGAGAUGAUGGAGAUUUGCAUGUAGGAAGUUUGUUGAGGAGUUUGAUGAUUCUGUAGGAGGACUCAGAGGAUUCAGCAUAUAGUUGUACUCACAGCUGUAAUUUAUUAUAGCAAAAGGAUUUUGAGAAUGACAGCAAAGGGAAAAGGUGCAUGAGAUGAAGUCCAGAGGAAAUCAAGAACAAGCUUCCAAGAGUUCUUUCCCAGUGGAGUCAAACAUGACAUGUGCGGCAACACUUAAGAAAUGAUGUCCACCAGGGAAGCUCAGCUGAGACUCCGUGCCUAGGGUUUUUAUUCAGGACUGGUCCUGUAGGUAUUCUUAGCCUAGCAUGUAACACAAUUCCAGGCUCCUGUAAGAAAAGCAGGUGUUUGGCAUAAACCACAUUGUUUUAACAAACGGUUUAGGCAUGAUGAGCUUCUUUUAUCAAUUCUGGGAAUGGUAUGAAUCCUACUGAAAUCCUAGUUCCUAGAUGUCAGCCACGGGCCAAACUUGUAAGCUUCUGUUUCAAAGAAUGGCAGUCCUAGGCUGCCAUGCUAACUCUUAGCAUGGGUGUGCUUGUAGGAAUAGUACCUAUGUAGAAGAAAGGGCACACGACAGGGCCAAGGGAAAAUGAUUCAACUGAACCAAAAAAGCAGUUGCAACAAAGGCCUUAGCCAAUUGCACAGACAAGCUCUGGAGCUAAAUGGCUCUUCAAAGAUGUGCUAAAUUGAGGUGGCGGGUUAGGCCUUCCUACCCUCACAUUGACCAGAUAUUUAUAGAUCUCUGAAACUAAGAGAAGCAAUUCCUUGAGCAUUUCUUGGGGAAGGAAGACGGAACUUAGCAACCUUUCAGAAAACCGAGUCAUUGAGCAUUUCAGUCCUGUGGUUGUCAUACCCCAGCUCUCUCCUCAGAGGACAUGAUGAACUGAGUGUUGCUGGUUCUAUCAAUGGCUCCAUUGCUUCUUUGCUAAUGAGAUCUAACCACACUGAAGACGUUGGAAUUCUAAUUUAAAAAAUUCAAAUUCCACAGUAUCUAAAUACAAGCAAUGUGUACAUAGGUUAUAUAGAACAGAAAAUUUCUGAAGUAUCUUGGCACCUAAGGGCCCUGAGAACAACCCUGAAUUUUCUCCAAAAGGCCAUAUGGAGAGCACCACUCACUCAUCACAAAUA